rnacentral:lncRNA from 1 species
ACAUAACAGGGAUUUUUUUUUAUGCCUUGGGGUUCUGUUUCUGAUUUUCUUUCUGUGUGUUUCUCCAUUAUGUUGUUGCAUUUUUCUCUAUUUACGUUAUCUCCCUUUCCCUUUUUCUCUCUGUCCCUCCCUCCUUCUUCCUCUCUAUUCUUCCCCUCCCCUUGUUUUUAUGCCUGAUUAUGUGGACACAGACAAGGAUUAAAACAGGGCACCUGCCCUUGAGGAGUUUACAAUCUGCUGGGCUGAGGAUCAACACAUGUUCAAAAAGAGAGGAAAGAAGUCAAGGGAGAUCAUGCCAGAUGGACUUAAUUUCAAUGAAGAACAGGGUCUUCCUGCCUGUAAGAAGGAGGCACUCUCUGCUUCUGUCAUGUGCUAAGCUUCGUCAAACAGAUUAUCUCUCUAAAGGUAGAGGCCUGUGAUUGACCGCUGUACCAAUGACUGAGCAGGGAGAGAGCAUUACUUCUUUAAAUCACCAUAGCACUGUGUGCAAGCCA